rnacentral:rRNA from 1 species
ACCAAGGCGACGAUCCGUAGCUGGUCUGAGAGGACGACCAGCCACACUGGAACUGAGACACGGUCCAGACUCCUACGGGAGGCAGCAGUGGGGAAUUUUGGACAAUGGGGGCAACCCUGAUCCAGCCAUGCCGCGUGAGUGAAGAAGGCCUUCGGGUUGUAAAGCUCUUUCAGACGGGAAGAAACGGUCACGGUUAAUAGCUGUGGCUAAUGACGGUACCGUCAGAAGAAGCACCGGCUAACUACAUGCCAGCAGCCGCGGUAAUACGUAGGGUGCGAGCGUUAAUCGGAAUUACUGGGCGUAAAGCGUGCGCAGGCGGUUUUGUAAGACAGACGUGAAAUCCCCGGGCUUAACCUGGGAACUGCGUUUG